CGGAUCCCGUGGGGCUGUGGAGCAGCCGCUUUUUAUGCCCAUGCAACUGUGCAGAGUCCUCAGAUAACACAUCCCAAAGCCUGUCAGAGCCAGAGGCACAAGGCCCCACUUAUACUUGGGCAAAGAGAGGCCAGGGGUCUUGCCCAAGUCACUGGCAAAGCCGCAGCUCAGACCCCGGCGUCGGUUUCCAGGCCCCUCCUCUCUGCUCCGCUCCUCUCCAGGCCCCUCCUCUCUGCUCCGCUCCUCUCCAGGCCCCUCCCAGUUUUUGGUUAAACUUCUCAUGUCACGUUUUCUGACAACACCUUCCAUUGUACCAUCUGUUUCUGAACAAUACCUGGGACAUUGCAAACUUGUUCUGCAAGAAUACCCUGGGUCUCAGUGUGUGUGACAAGGGAUGGAAGUAGAUACGUGGUCUUGCUAUGUUGCCCAGGCUGGUCUCAGACUCCUGGGCUCAAAGGAUCUGCCUGCCUCAGCCUCCGGAAGUGCUGGGAUUACAGGUGUGAGCCACUGUACUCCGCCACAGGAGCGUGUGGCCGGGGACUCGUGCAUGCCAGGGAAGAGCACUGGCUUCCGGAUCCUCUGACUUCACCAUGUGACUUGGCCAGCAAUGACCCUGGGUUAGAGAUAGGUGGAGCGGAGGCAGGCAGUGGUCAGAGACCCCAGACAUGGGGUCCUGGCACCACAACUGUGAUUUUCCAUCACUUUAGAGGCACCAACAGGGGUCCCUCUGGAAACGUGGAGCAGAAUCAUCCAGGAUCCCGAAGAGGACUUUGUCCUCCUGCCCAUUUCCAGUUCCUCUCCCAUCUCCUCUGGUUUCCAGAAGCAGCACAUCCCCGGCCCCACCCCUCAUCUGUAUACGGAUCCUCCUAAUGCAGACCCAGGUGAUGGAAAACCCGUCUACAACGAACCAAGGCUGUUCGUGCUUUCAAAUAUUAAAUUCUGUUCAGAAUAUUAAAUAAUUUCAUCUUCAGUGAUCCCAGUAAAUUUAAUUAGCUCUUGUUCUCCCAAUAGAGUUGUCUCUUGGUUGCUGAAAUGUUGCAUUCUCAAGGAAGGAGGCCCACAUUCCUGCAGCGCGGAGGGCUCGCUGUCUCCCUGCGCAGCCUGCCCUGCCGCAGGCACCACGGCACAUCGGCUGCCAGGAUCCCCUGUGCCCUGGCAGGAGGCGGAUGACACGGAGCUCUGCUGUCCGUGAGCUGUUCAUUCUCUGGGGGCAGGGAGAACCUUGAGGGAUCUGCUGGGUACCCUCCGUCAGGGUGCUGUGCAAGGGCAAUUAUAAACGACACUCCAGGGACCCCACAGAGCUGGCAUCCUUCUUCCAGGGGGAGCAGCCUGAGGGUGGCUGGGUCUGCCUGUGUCCUGGAGCUAGGCCCGUGAAGAUGGGUCUCCAUCAUUUCUCCAUCUUCUGGCCCCCGCUCUAGGGAAGUGUGGGCAGCUCCUCCUGAGAGGUGAGCCACUGGGGAGGGUUGCAGGGAAUUCCUGAGACACUGCGGUGAGAAGACACUUCCUCGGUGCCUUGAGAACAUAAUCAAAGGUCAAUACCAUGAGAAAUGGUGGGGAAGGUGGUGCCUCCCAGGCCCCGUGUGGUCAGCCCUGGCCGGUCCCUCAUG
rnacentral:lncRNA from 1 species